UAGAAGGGACAAGGGACAAAGGAC
rnacentral:piRNA from 1 species